GACGAACGCUGGCGGCGUGCUUAACACAUGCAAGUCGAACGGAAAGGCCCUGCUUUUGUUGGGUGCUCGAGUGGCGAACGGGUGAGUAACACGUGAGUAACCUGCCCUUGACUUUGGGAUAACUUCAGGAAACUGGGGCUAAUACCGGAUAUGAGCUCCUGCUGCAUUGUGGGGGUUGGAAAGUUUCGGCUGUUGUGGAUGGUCUCGCUGCUUAUGCGCUUGUUGGUGGGGUAGUGGCUUACCAAGGCUUCGACGGGUAGCCGGCCUGGGAGGGUGGCCGGGGACAAGGGGACUAAGAGACGCAGCAGAAGGGAACGGGAGGCAGUAGUGGAAAGCGUGGCAGAAUGGGGGGGAGCCGGAGGCAGAGGCGUCGCGUUCGGGAUGAUGGGUUUCUGGGGGUAAACCGAUUUGGCCGGAACCGUGGCGGGAGUGACGGUACCGGGUAAAGAAGCACCGGCUAACUACGUG
rnacentral:rRNA from 1 species